rnacentral:rRNA from 1 species
AGUGAACGCUGGCGGUAGGCCUAACACAUGCAAGUCGAACGGCAGCACAGUAAGAGCUUGCUCUUACGGGUGGCGAGUGGCGGACGGGUGAGGAAUACAUCGGAAUCUACUUUUUCGUGGGGGAUAACGUAGGGAAACUCACGCUAAUACCUCAUACGACCUACGGGUGAAAGCAGGGGAUCUUCGGACCUUGCGCGAUCGAAUGAGCCGAUGUCGGAUUAGCUAGUUGGCGGGGUAAAGGCCCACCAAGGCGACGAUCCGUAGCUGGUCUGAGAGGAUGAUGAGCCACACUGGAACUGAGACACGGUCCAGACUCCUACGGGAGGCAGCAGUGGGGAAUAUUGGACAAUGGGCGCAAGCCUGAUCCAGCCAUACCGCGUGGGUGAAGAAGGCCUUCGGGUUGUAAAGCCCUUUUGUUGGGAAAGAAAAGCAGCAGGUUAAUACCCCGCUGUUCUGACGGUACCCAAAGAAUAAGCACCGGCUAACUUCGUG